ACAGAAGAAAGAAAAAA
rnacentral:sRNA from 1 species